GACAGAGGCCUCGAGCGUUAGGCGGAAUCACUGGGCUUAAAGCGUGUGUAGGCGGAUCGUUAAGUACCUUGUGAAAUCCCACGGCUCAACCGUGGAACGGCUGGGUAUACUGGCGGUCUUGGGCCAUUCAGGGGCGACUGGAACAAGCGGUGGAGCGGUGAAAUGCGUAGAUAUCGCUUGGAACGCCGAAGGUGAAAACAGGUCGCUGGGGAUGUGCCGACGCUGAGACACGAAAGCGUGGGGAGCGAACAGG
rnacentral:rRNA from 1 species